rnacentral:rRNA from 1 species
UACAGAGGUCUCAAGCGUUGUUCGGAUUCAUUGGGCGUAAAGGGUGUGUAGGUGGCGCCGUAAGUCGGGUGUGAAAUCUUGGAGCUUAACUCCGAAACUGCAUUCGAUACUGCCGUGCUUGAGGACUGGAGAGGAGACUGGAAUUUACGGUGUAGCGGUGAAAUGCGUAGAUAUCGUAAGGAAGACCAGUGGCGAAGGCGGGUCUCUGGACAGUUCCUGACGCUGAAGCACGAAGGCCCAGAGGAGCAAACGGG